CGGAGAGGGAGCCCGAGAAACGGCUACCACUUCCAAGGAAGGCAGCAGGCGCGCAACUUACCCUAAUCUCGAUUCGAGGAGGUAGUGACAAGAAAUACCGAUGCGGGACCCUACGGGUGCCGCGUUCGGAAUGAGUACGAUUCGAACCACCUAACGAGGAACGAUCGGAGGGCAAGUCUGGUGCCAGCAGCCGCGGUAAUUCCAGCUCCAAUAGCGUACGUUAAAGUUGCUGCAGUUAAAAAGCUCGUAGUUGAACGUUCGGGUUCCGCGGGACGGGGCCGCCCCGCGAGGGACGGCGCCGCCCCGGGGCUCGUGAUAUCUCAUCUCGCCGCCCGUCGCGAGGCGGACGGAGGGAUGGAUGAGGUUACCUGGAAAAAAUCGGGGCGAUCUAGGCGGGCGAACCUCGCCAACGAACGAUCGGACAUGGG
rnacentral:rRNA from 1 species